rnacentral:snRNA from 2 species
GGAUGUGAGGGUGAUUUGACUGCGACAUCUAUCACCCCAUUGAUCACCAGGGUUAAUUUGGCUGAUGUGGCUGGGCAGGGAGGUGUUCUCUUCCUCCCUCACUACUCCAUGUGUGUCAAUCCUGGAUCUGCACAUUCAGUGAAGGAGGACAACUCUGAUGGAGGAGGACUGCUCUUUUGUCAAGGGUACAGGUGUAGCUGUGCUUCCCUGCUAGAACUUCUAAACAAGCUCUCAAGGUCCAAGCUUCCAAGAUUCCAGACACCUCCAAAUGAGGCUCUGCAUGUGGCAGUUUGCCUUUCUAA